GCAUCUGAAGACGUUUGACCGGGGAAUGGUCUGGAACACGGACCUGGUGGAGACCCUGGAGCUGCAGAACCUGAUGCUAUGUGCGCUGCAGACCGUCAAUGGAGCAGAGGCGGGGAAGGAGUCACGGGGCGCGCACGCCGGGGAAGACUACAAGGUGCAGAUUGAUGAGUAUGAUCACUCCAAGCCCAUCCAGGGGCAACAGAAGAAGCCCUUUGAGGUGCACUGGAGGAAGCACACCCUGUCCUAUGUGGACGUCGGCACUGGGAAGGUUGCCUGUUCACUCUGCCUGGUCAUAUGCAGAAAACCGAAACUAGACCCCUUGCUGACACUUAUACAAAAAUUAACUCAAGAUGCAUUAAAGAUUUAAACGUGAGACCUAAAACCAGAAAAAUCCUAGAAGAAAACCUAGGCAACACCAUUGAGGACGUAAGCAUGGGCAAAGACUUCAUGACUAAAACACCAAAAGAAAUGGCAACAAAAGCCAAAAUUGACAAAAGGUUUCCUUAAUGACAACAAAAAAGGGAGUAAUCCUACCCACUGUAAGAGUCAUGACUCUUGAUUGCAGCUGACAGAAACUCAUGACAGCCUGCUUUAGAUGAAGGGGGAGAGAAGGACUGGAAGAAUCUUGGAGUUGGGAAUGUCACACGUAAUUGAAGGAAGAACAAGAAAACUAUAAUUCUUCCCCUGGAGGCUGGAGUUUCCAGGAUGUCAAAAUUACCUCUGCUUGGGUGAGCUAUUUCAAGCAGCUGGGAUACCUGUGUCACUCCUGCUGUCUGCCAGUGACUGCCCAGGU
rnacentral:lncRNA from 1 species